AGCAGCCGCGGUAAUUCCAGCUCCAAUAGCGUAUAUUAAAGUUGUUGCAGUUAAAAAGCUCGUAGUUGAAUUUCGGGAUCAAUAUAUCGGUCGUGCCUUGGUACGUACUGGUAUCAUUGGUUUCUCCUUUCUGACGAACCAUGAUGUCAUUAAUUUGGUGUUAUGGGAAGUUAGGACUGUUACUUUGAAAAAUUAGAGCGUUUAAAGCAGGCUUUGGCUUGAAUACAUUAGCAUGGAAUAAUGAAAUAGGACGUUCGAACCUAUUUUGUUGGUUUCUAGGAUCAACGUAAUGAUUAAUAGGGAUAGUUGGGGGCAUUAGUAUUCAAUUGUCAGAGGUGAAAUUCUUGGAUUUAUUGAAGACUAACUACUGCGAAAGCAUUUGCCAAGGAUGUUUUCAUUAAUCAAGAACGAAAGUUAGGGGAUCGAAGACGAUCAGAUACCGUCGUAGUCUUAACCAUAAACUAUGCCGACUAGGGAUCGGAUGAUGUUAAUUUUUA
rnacentral:misc_RNA from 1 species